rnacentral:rRNA from 1 species
CCUACGGGAGGCAGCAGUGGGGAAUAUUGCACAAUGGAGGAAACCCUGAUGCAGCGACGCCGCGUGAGGGAAGAAGGAUUUCGGGUUGUAAACUUCUUUUAGCAGGGAAGAGCAUGACGGUAUCUGACUAGUAAGCACCGGCUAACUCCGUGCCAGCAGCCGCGGUAAUACGUAGGGGGCAAGCGUUAUCCGGAUUUACUGGGUGUAAAGGGCGCGUAGCCGGCAGAGCAAGUCUGAUGUGAAAUCCCAUGGCUUAACCAUGGAACUGCAUUUGAAACUGUGCAUCUAGAGUGUGGGAGAGGUAAGCGGAAUUCCUUGUGUAGCGGUGAAAUGCGUAGAUAUUAGGAGGAACACCAGUGGCGAAGGCGGCUUACUGGACUGUAACUGACGCUGAGGCGCGAAAGCGUGGGGAGCAAACAGGAUUAGAUACCCGUGUAGUC